GUCGAAACCUGCACAGCAGAACGACCAGCGAACAUGUUUUCAUGGGCACACUAACAAACCCCGGCGCGGACUGCGCCAAGGAACAAUAACUCCAACGCCUCGACCGCGCCCGGUAACCCGUGGAGGGUGCCAUCCGUAACAAUAAACGACUCUCGGCAACGGAUAUCUCGGCUCUCGCAUCGAUGAAGAACGUAGCGAAAUGCGAUACUUGGUGUGAAUUGCAGAAUCCCGUGAACCAUCGAGUCUUUGAACGCAAGUUGCGCCCGAAGCCUCCGGCURAGGGCACGUCUGCCUGGGCGUCACGCAUCGCGUCUCCCCUCACCCACCGCGGGGGGGAAGGACGAUGGCCUCCCGUGCCUCACCGGGCGCGGCUGGCCUAAAAACGGAGCCCCCGGCGACGAGCUGCCGCGGCAUUUGGUGGUUCGUCGCGCCCCUCUUAGCCCCUGAAGCUCGAGCGACCCACGCCGUUGCGACCCCAGGUCAGGCGGGGCUA
rnacentral:rRNA from 1 species